UGUUCCCUCGUUGGUUCCCCCGCGGGCCGGGCUGCCCGGGUCAGCGGCGGGGGGCGCGGCGUGGCCGUGGCAUCCCCGCGUGUACCGCAGCCUCGUCCUCGGAGGGCUUUGGCUGGGCUGAUGCCAGAGGGAGAUCACCCGACACUGCCGCGGUCGGACUGUCACCCUUGUAGGGAAGCCAGGAGAAGGCAGUUGUCAAGUAUCUCUGUGGUGGAAGACAGGACUUCCAGGUCAGUAGUGCUCCUGAGUGCUGCUAUGUGCUUCUCAAAUUCCAUGUUUGAGGAGGCACAGUUUACUGUAAAUCUCAAACAUGACACAUUUUUCCGAGGAUCUUGUUGUUCUACUGAUCAUCUCUGCUGUUCCUACAAUGUGCAGCCCAGUAAAGUCUGUUCCUGCUGUUAAGGAAUCCUCAACAAAGUAGUUGAACAAAUGUUCAGAGAAUGCCAUGUAAAAUCUGGAGAACAUCUUGUCAUUCCAGUUAUAUCUGAGUUUUUACCCAAAUCUUGCAUCUGUGAGUCAUUUUACUACUGUUUUCAUCUUGGCUUUAUAUGGUAUCCACUACAUCUUCUUGCAGCGCUCUGUUGCCAUUAGUGGAUCACUAAAGGAAAAUCACGCUCUUAUUUAAGUCUGACUCCUAUAAUUUACUCUCUCCCAAACUGUAGAAAGGAGUUUGUCCAUUGUGGAUUGGGGUAGGAUGGAGGCUUUACCCUGAAAAGACGCUAAUUUGAACAAGUUUCCAAUAUAUCUCAAGGUAUUCAAAUGACCUUAAAUUCCUUAAAAAACAAAUCAGCACAAGUGACAUCCCUGCAUUUACCAUAAAAGUAGUUUAUGAAAGGACAAAAGUACAUGCUAAUUCUGAAAGUCCAGAUUUCUGUUCAUCAGUUUGAAAAAAAUAGUAUUUAUUGGAGUUUAGUGCUAUUACACAGGAUGUUUAUAGUCACAAAGUGUAAUCUGAGAAUGAACUUCAAAAUGUGCAUCUCAUCACUCAAUUUUCAUUACUUCUGGAGAGUUUUUCUGUAUAUAUGCCAGUGCAUCUGACAGAUCCUAACACUAGCUCUUAUUAUUACCACAUCCCCAGCAGUGUGCAUUCAGAAAGCAGAAAAGAGAGUUUCUCCCCUCCUCAGAUAAACUCUGACCCAAUUUGGGCUAAUCUUGGGAAGGGCAAGUAUUGCUGAAAGCUACUGGGGAGCUUCAAGAGGAAGAGGACACAGAAGAGCUUUGCAUGACAGUCCAAUAUAAGUCAAAGCUUAGUCACUUAUUAGCUCAGCAUUGAUGACAUUAGCCACUCUACAUUCAGCCUCAGCCUCAUUUCUUCAGAUGUUUUAUUGUUAUGGAAAGUUUUUUAAUAGAAAAAGAUAUGAUAAAACAUCAGCUUCUACACAUAAUUAUCCUUAAAGCAAUGAAAAAUACGCAGAGCAUAAAUUUCUGUCCUACCAUAGCUUCUGUCUGAGCAGGGAUAUUGUAGAACAUUUUCUUGAAAGUUCAAAGAAUAAAUCUCAUUUUGUUUCCUUUUGUUAUGAUCAUCAGACAGAGGUGAAUGAGCAUGAUUUGUUUUCUGACUCCAGAUAUCCUGUGGGAAUCCUGGAAGGUUACAGAGGGCACAAAGCACUUUGAAAAACAAGAUAGAAAUAAUUUGGUCUCAAUGCUGAUUUAUUUUCCUACUUACUAAAGUAGGGAAAACCUAAGGGUUAAAUUUAUGACAUUGUUGUGCUCUUGAAUGUGAGAUCUGCUAGCUUUGAUGCUGUCAACAGUGUGAUUCAAGUUGUGGUGUUCCUGCAUAAUUUCUGAGGAUGUCUGCAAGAGGAGAAAUUCAGGAAUUUGCCAAGGUGUGAGCAAGAAGAGCCUAAAAAAAACUACCACUCAAGAAGUGACUUUAGCACUAAAAGGAGUUAUGAAAACUUCAGCUACAGCAGGUAUAUCCUGAGUGGAGCAGCACAGCCAAAUCUGUGAAGGAGUGUGUUGUCAGGGCACUGAAUAACCAGAGCAGACAUUGCAAGAUUCCCUAUUUUUCUGGAUGAAAUAAACCAUGCCAGUAAAUUCAAGUCAUUCUGUUGUCACCAGGGGCCCUUACCAAACUGUUGAUAUGGGAUUUUAUCUUUUGCCACUUUUCCCUGAAUUACAUCAGAGAUGUUUUGCAAUUUAUAUAUGACCUGUCUAAUGCAAAAUAGAAGUAAAGAUCUUUGUUUUUUCAGUUUUAUUCUCCAAUGAGUACCAGUAGAGUAAUAGUGAACAAAUACAUACUUUUAUCUUGCCACUUUUCAUUAAGUCUUAGUAGUAGGCAUAGAGGGAGAAACAUUAGGAGGUUAAGAAUAUCUUAUUCUUGAUAUUCAUUUUGCUGUGUGGGCAAAUCAGUGCGCUUCUCUUUGCCCUUCUUUCUCAAUCUGUGAAACAGAGAUACUUCUGCUCUGAGAUUUGAGAUGGCUGGGCAGUGCUAUUGUGGUCUAAAUCCCAGGGCUGUUUCAGAAACCUGAAGGAAUCAGCAUCACUGUGACUUAGUUGGGAACAGUCCUGGUUUGGUCUAGGUAUGUGUCAGCAGAAAAAUUGACCUCAGGAGGGUAAGACUGAAACUGUGACUUAUCUACUAGUGAUGAUAGUGCUGUAAAAUGCAAGGAAAGAUCUGCACUGUUGAAGGAGAUGUGCUUUUGGUACAUUCAAAGAUGUGUCUUGUGGUUGCUUCUGUGGUAGCUGUAGGUCUGGAAGGAAAUUAGGAAAUAUGGUUGUGAAAGAAAAAGAUAUGUUGACCAGAGCACUAGGAGACAAUUACCCUCUCUCCUAUAGCAUAACAGGAAUUGACUGUUUUCUUUUAUGAUUGAAAAUAAGAUAUAUUCUAUUCCAAAAAGACUUCUUGAAAGGCUGGCUCCGUUAGUUAUAGCAACCUCUCCUCAGUCACACUCCAGCUUGCCCUCUGGGCAGCCCUGUAAAGGGUCCAUGGUUUGUUUAUAGUCUCAUCACCUCCUAUUUAAGGCUUGGAGGGUAUGCUCAGAGGAAAAAUGUCAGGCAGUACCUGUGCUGUAGGAAAUUGU